rnacentral:rRNA from 1 species
GACGAUAGCCUAGGAGAUACACCUGUACCCAUGCCGAACACAGCAGUUAAGCCCUAGAACGCCUGAAGUAGUUGGGGGUUGCCCCCUGUUAGAUACGGUAGUCGCUUAGCA